rnacentral:rRNA from 1 species
GUGACAAUAGCGAAGGGGUUCCACCUGUUCCCAUCACCUGUUCCCAUCCCGAACACAGAAGUUAAGCCCUUCAGCGUCGAUGGUACUUGGCUGGAGACGGCCCGGGAGAGUAGAUCGUCGCCG